rnacentral:tRNA from 1 species
GGCCUUUUAGUAUAAUGGUCGUACAACUACCCUUCAAGUAGUCAGUGUCAGUUCAAUUCUGAUAAAGGCUG